rnacentral:rRNA from 1 species
UACGUAGGGAGCAAGCGUUGUCCGGAUUUAUUGGGCGUAAAGGGCUCGUAGGCGGUUCGGUAAGUCGGGUGUGAAACCUCCAGGCUCAACCUGGAGACGCCACCCGAUACUGCUGUGACUUGAAUCUGGUAGGGGAGCACGAAAUUCCUGGUGUAGCGGUGAAAUGCACAGAUAUCAGGAGGAACACCGGUGGCGAAGGCGGUGCUCUGGGCCAGUAUUGACGCUGAGGAGCGAAAGCGUGGGUAGCGAACAGG